UACGUAGGGUGCGAGCGUUGUCCGGAAUUAUUGGGCGUAAAGAGCUCGUAGGCGGUUCGUCGCGUCGGCUGUGAAAACCUGAGGCUCAACCUCAGGCCUGCAGUCGAUACGGGCGGACUUGAGUACUGCAGGGGAGACUGGAAUUCCUGGUGUAGCGGUGAAAUGCGCAGAUAUCAGGAGGAACACCGGUGGCGAAGGCGGGUCUCUGGGCCGGUACCGACGCUGAGGAGCGAAAGCGUGGGGAGCGAACAGG
rnacentral:rRNA from 1 species